rnacentral:rRNA from 1 species
UACGAAGGAUCCAAGCGUUGUCCGGAUUUACUGGGUUUAAAGGGUGCGUAGGCGGACUUUUAAGUCAGUGGUGAAAGCCUGUAGCUUAACUAUAGAAUUGCCAUUGAAACUGAAAGUCUCGAGUGUGGUUGAGGUAACUGGAAUAUAUCAUGUAGCGGUGAAAUGCUUAGAUAUGAUAUAGAACACCAAUUGCGAAGGCAGGUUACUGAGCCAUUACUGACGCUGAGGCACGAAAGCGUGGGGAUCAAACAGGAUUAGAUACCCUGGUAGUCCACGCCGUAAACGUUGCAUACUCGAUCUUAGCGAUACACAGUUAGGAUCCAAGCGAAAGCGUUAAGUAUGCCACCUGGGAAGUACGAUCGCAAGAUUGAA